GACGAAGGGGGCUAGCGUUGUUCGGAAUUACUGGGCGUAAAGCGCGUGUAGGCGGUUAUCCAAGUCGGGUGUGAAAGCCUUGAGCUCAACUCAAGAAAUGCACUCGGUACUGGGUGACUAGAGGACCGGAGAGGAUAGUGGAAUUCCCAGUGUAGUGGUGAAAUACGUAGAGAUUGGGAAGAACACCAGUGGCGAAGGCGGCUAUCUGGACGGUUUCUGACGCUAAGA
rnacentral:rRNA from 1 species